UGUGUAUAGAUGUAUGUAUGUGCGUGUGAUUUCUUUUUUCCCUUUAAAUCCUGCUGCUCCUGCCUCCGUCGCCGCCGCAGCCGCUGCAAAAGCAAGCAUGCGUUCCUCUUUUGUCUUUCAUUUUACCUUCAGGGUGACAUUCAGUGCCAACUGCUCCCUUUUGACCGUCGCCAAUCCCCGCCUGGGCAAAAUAAAUUUGAAAAAAAAAAAAAAAAGACGGAGUGGGGGAGGGGAAGGAGGAACCCCUUCAGCCCCAGUGCUGGGGUGCUGGGUUAUCGGAAUCCCAGACCUACACGACCCACCUCCCAACCUUAAAAAUAAACAUCUUCCCCCUCUACCCACCGGGCCCAGGCAGAGAAUUGGUACCAAGGAGCAUCCACCCAGGGCCCCACUCGUGUUCGUGGGUCACGCUCGCUGACUUGCAUACCCGGCCAAUGCUGUCCUUGCUUCACCAACCCACACAUCAGUGCAGGGGCCAGAGGUCCCGCCCCUUGGCAGUCAAUGCUCAAGUUCUCCAGAGGUCUUAAUAGAUGAUUGUCUGUUUGCUUGCUCUUUUUAGGGGGAGCGGGAGGAGUUUCUUAUGUAGUUCUGACUGGCCUCAACCACCCAGCAAGACUCCUGUCUCAGCCUCCUAUGUGCUGGGAUUGCAAGUGUGCACUGAAAUGCCCAGCCUGCACAGGUGCUUUCAAAGCCAAGACUCUCCAGCUCUUUCAAGAAUGCCUUUCUAUUGCUCAUCCAAGUUCGGACUCAGACUAUUUCCAAGGUUUUAUUUUCUGUCUUCAUCUUAAAUAUAAUAGUUAAUAGAGUUGGAGCAUGCUCAGUUUAACUUCCCAGCCAAACCAGUAAGGACUGAAAAGGCUUACCAAGCAGCAUGGGACACAUCGAAAGCAAGGUCAUAAACUUGACUUUGUUUAGAGCAUGGAAAUCAAAUCCAAUCUCCAACACAGUAGGAGGGGAAGAUAAGGAUUAGCCCCACUUUACACAAGAAUAUCCCAGCAUGGAGAAGUUUAGACCCAGGUUACAUAGCUAGGACUCAAAUUCAAGGGCUCUGAGCUCUCACUACCACCAACCUAUUGCCAGCUGCUGGCAUCAUACCCAGACUGGUCCCCCCAUGGACCAAUCAGGUCGGUAACUCACUAGUGUCUCAUAGGCUCUGUGAACACAUCCCCUCACCCUUUCCCCAGCCUGUCAAACCUUCCUUCUGCCUCUUUACUUAUGAUUCAUUACUCCAGUUCUAGCCAUCAGUGAAGGCCAUGUUCCAACCUCACUGCAUCCACAAUGCUGCUGUCUAUGACCACUCUGCUCUUGCACAGCUCCACAAUGUCCACUGCCGUGUAGAACAUCACUGUUCUCUAACUGUGUGGGGGUGCUUUUUAGUCCCUUCUCCACCUUUCAGUUCUUUUCUAACUGAAUCAUGUCUCCCCACACCCCCAUCUCUUCCAGUUUAGCCAGCAUGGUGCCAAUCAUAACAGUGGCUUUCAUUGUGCCUCUGGUGCGUGAAUCCACACAAAGGCAUCCUUUGGAACACACUGAUGGCAUUUUCAAUCUGAUCGAAUUUGAAGUUUCACGUAACAAAGGCUUUUUCCCCCUUUCAUCUGAAAAUAUUUAACUGGUCUCAACAUACCUUAGACAGUCCUCAAAAAAAAAAAAAACAAGUCACCCUGACAGGGCUGCAUAUAUAUACAGAUAGAAUCCUGGUACCCACAGGGGAGGCUGAGGCAGGAGAAGUUCGGGUUCCAGGGAGGGAUGGAGGAAAGGGAAAACAACAAAGUCAGAGUAGUGGCGAGAGUAUUUACCUUGAGAAUGAUAUUGCAAUGAGGUAGAGUUUGGCAUUGGGUCUGAUGACAAUGAGCAGGGAUAUGCAGAAAGCUGCUGGAAAUGUAAUCAUGCAGGGGCUGUGUUAGCUAGUUUUGCAUUUUCCAAGUAUGUUUUGUGAUUAAAAAGUUAGGACAUUUAGAGUCUGGUGGUCACCAGAUACAGGAGCAACUCUAGAUCUGCUACUAGAUAGCUUGUGUGACCUCAGACAAAGGCUUUGGUCCCCUACUUGCACAAAGUGGCAUUACACUAACCUCUGAGGUCUCUUCAGCUCUAGGAGCCUGAGUCAGAAUGUGAGUGGGGAAGAGAAAGCAAGAGCGAGCAUUAGCACACCACCAGUCAUCAAUGGUUUGAGGACUGACAUAACCAAAGAUGCUCAAGAGCCCCGGCUGAGUAAGCCAAGGUCAAGUUCCUACCUCUAGUCUCCAGUAUCAUUCAGAGUCAUUUGGAAAAACAGAAUUCAUAGACAAAAGGAUGCUCAAACUUGCACUCUCAGGCUGGGGAUAUAGCUCCAUGGUACAAUACUUGACUAGCAUGCAUGAGUUCCUAGUGUCAAAUACUCAGAGAGGGUAAAAGCACAGUUUCUACAAGUGUCCUUUUUAUCCAAGAUGAAAUUAUCAGUAAUCAUGCACACUGGUCACCCAGUACAACUGCCAGAAUGUCACUAGUCAUCAUUCCCACUUACAUACAAUUUAUUUUCCUUCUAACACAACCUCAUUUGAUAUGAAUGCAUCCAAUCAUUGUCUUCAACUCAUAAGCAAGAAGCAGCUUGAAUGAAAUCAUGACACACUUUGAAAAGCAGAGACUGACAAUGAAGAGACUUGGGGAUGAGAGCCAGAAGGGACCUUCUGUGGAUUUCCUAACUGCAGCUACUCUCCGUGUACCUCUCUGUGUGUUCCUUUCUUGUUUGCCCUUCUGAAUUGAAUGCUUAUACUUGUUGACCUCUGUGUGUGUGUGUGUGUGUGUGUGUGUGUGUGUCUGUGUGUGUGUGUGUGUGUGUGUGUGUGUGUGUGUGUGUGUGUGUGUAGCAGGAUGUUUGCUUGUUUGUUUUUGUUUUUUAUUUUUUAUUUUUGAAACAGGGUCUCAUGUAAUCCACCAUGCCAAUGCCAACCUCCAACUCAACACGUAGCUGAGGGUGACCUUGACCAUCUGGUCUACCUUCCUCACUUCCCAAGUGCUGAGACUCUGGCACUAGGCGUGGUUUACCCAUUGGCUUCCUCAGCAGCUUUUCUGUUGGGAUAAUGAAAUAAUAGAAAUGCCAAGGAUGCUACAAACACAAAAGGGCUGUCAGUCGGAUGGACAGUUUACACCUGAGUCGUGUUUCCAGAAAGUUCUCCACAGUUACUAAAACAUGUGGAGCCAAGAACUCAGGUCCCCUGGUCCAGAAUCCAGGUUGAUUUCCACUACAGCUCAUUACAGAAUCUCACAGAGUCCUACAACUAGGUAAGGGUAGGUUCCAGAUGGAUGUGUGAUCCACUGCCCUAGCCACAGUUCACUUUCAAAACUGUGGUACAAACUCAAGGAAAAUGGGUCCCUGCUCACACACAUCUCAGCUAGAACCAAGUUCACUGGAACAUUUAUUUAAAAUAGUCCAGUAUACUAUGGCCGGUACACGAAAAUAUGCAAUAAACCCAUGUAAGACAAAAGUCCUUAUCAAGGUUUCACCACUUCAAGAAUACAUGGAGGAAGUGGUUUUUGGUUUGAUUGUUUGGUUGGUUGGUUGGUUUGGUUUGGGUUUGGGGGGUUGUAGUUUGUUUUGUUUUUGUAUUGAAGUUGUGGGUAGAGGAAAGAAGGGAAGGGGGAGGAGGAGAGAGAGAGAGUGUUCAAUACAGAAGAUUCAUAAUUUUCAUCACAUUCCAGAUGUGUUCAUGAUUUUAAAAAAAAAAGGUUAAGAGCCACUGGAAUAAAAAAAUAGCUUAUUUUAAAAUGGAGAUUAAAGAGAAUAGAUAUUCAUUUAAGGCAAAUGCCAUGCCUACCUACCGCAACACGGUAGGUAGUGUGUAAUAACCACUAGUAUUCCAAAUGAUAGCCCUGAGACAUAAUAAAAGCCUCCGUCCUCAAAGAAAUCUGUUUUCAAGGUAUUUUACUUAACUGAUGGAGGAAGAAGUAUUAGCCUGCUGGAAAGAGAUGAACGAACCUCAAAUGAAAACAGGGCCAGUGCUUUCGAGUUGCCAGGGCAGCUCCACUAAACAGGGGCGGGAAUGUUCUUUUAUUUAUUUAUUUAUUUAUUUAUUUAUUUUAGGAAGGAAAGGCAUAUCCUGCAGGUGUUCAGGUAGCAAAGGAUGGGGGCAGAGUAGAAUCCUGACAGGUCUGGAGGGAAGAGCAAAGGAGGACACUUGGUAGAGAGUUAGAGUGAGCUAAUUUCAAUAUUCUGUAUUGGACAACUGAAUUGAUAGUAGGCUAUUCAUGAUAUGCAAAUUAAGACUAAGAAAACACUGAAUUCAGUUUGAAAUAUUUUGAGUUUACAAUCUUUUAGUACAGCCUGAUUCCACUGGCUAUAGCAAGGAUGUAGAACAUAUUUGUGGCUGAAGAAAUUUAUUUGAGACCCACCAGUAAGUUAGUGGUGGUUAAAGCCAUUAAUAAAGAUAAGAGGAGAAGGUAUAGAUGAAAAUAAUUUCAGAGUCUGAAAUAAAACUCUAUUUAUUUGAUCAAGUUCUAAGUACAUAAAAUACAUAACACCCUGGCAAAAAUGUUGGUGAUUUUCAGUGUGCAGACUUCUGAAUUUGUACCAUAUCAGAAUAGAAGUCUCCUGCCACACUGAAUUUUGGGUUACACCUGGACUUUCCCGAAGUCCUCCAUCUCAAAGCUUAGUUUUCCAGACGCGAUAGCACAUUGACUGCCUGGGCGCACAAGAAGAGGGGCAGAGCUUUCCCUGGCAGCCAGGUUCAACUGGAAAAAAUGCUCACAACAUCACCUGAUGCCACUGGCACCCAACUAUGUCUUCAUCUAUGUAGCUCUGCCAGCUGCUGAACCAGCAGGGGAAACUCAGGGUCAUGGAAAGAACACUAAACUUAGAGUCAGAACUCUGGAGGGUAUGGCUCACUAUUGCCUGUGGCUGCUCUUGCACUCCCUGGGCAAACCACUCAGCCUUCAAUGGCUGGCUCUAACCUGAGCCAGCCCCUGCUGCUAUUCUCAGGUCAGUCCCCUAGAGCAGUGCUGUCGAGGCAAUCAUCCAAAGGAAGUCAUGAGUGGAACCAACCACACAUGGCCCAAGUCACCUCUUUUAUGAGCUCUUCCAAGAUGGCCCCUCCCAGUUCCCCACGGUGAGGACUCUCCUGUGUUUCCACCAUGUCCACACACUUCUGAGAUUAGCCCUAUACUUGAAUUACUGUGACUCUGUCAUCAGCUAGUGUAACUGAUGGUUUAGUUAUCUUUUGACUCACAGUAUGUGUGGAGCACAGCUGAAGCUCUCUAAGUGCUGAAUAGAUGAAUGAAUAAAUGAAUGAAUGAAUGAAUGAAUGACAAUCAGAGAGGAAUCUCAGCCUACAUAGGCACAAAUCUAUGAGAAUGCUCUUGAUAUGCCAGAAAGUGGAGAGAGCUGGGCUGGCCACAGGUACAUGAUACAAGUGCUCAGAGGAACCUCUCUAGAAUAAAAGUUAUAAAUUUCCUAAACACUACUUUAUGUAUUCAGUCAUUUUUAUGGAAUAAAAUCCUGUAUUUCCUACCUAGGCUUAAGGUUAAAAUGCAAACAUCAUCCCUCUCUCCUACCCUCAAAUGCUAACACUGAUAUUAUUUGACAUCAAGGUAUAAACAACACAUUUAAGAGGUUCCCAGAAAGCUAUGGCAAAGAAAGCCAGAGGGCAUCCAGACUCCAGGUCUUCACACUUGCACAUCUGCCACUGCAUGGUGCGAAGGAUGCCACUGCAUGGUGGGAAGGACCCAGAAAGCAUGCCGAAUGAACAUCACAUUCCUGAGAAAUUUUCUGAGUCUUCCUGUGGUCACAUACCCUACCAUCAAGAUGGAAAUCAAAGUCUGGAGGAUUGGUGGAGAAGGGGUAGAAGUUAUAGCCCAUGUCAUGGCUGAUGUCUGGUUAAUGUGGGCAGCUACUGGAAGCAGUCUCCUCCCUUUCAACCUUCUUGCAUAGCCACUUUUCCAGAAGACAAGGCAAUCGUGCACACCAAUUUUUAUCUACUUCUAAGCUUUUCAUUUGGUCAAUGUUGCAUUUGCAUCUUGAGUGUCCCCCAAAGCCCAUAGUUUUAAGACUUAGUUCCCAGCCUAUACUAUACAACCACUGGGAAGUGGUAGAACCAGGAGAAGAGAUCUAGCAGGAGAAAGCUAGAAGAUCAGAAGGAAGGAACUUAAAACAUUGGGUCGGGGGAGCCCUGGAAGGAGGUCCAAGGACUCUACCCUUCCCCUGUCUAUUCAUUUACCAGCUGUCAUGAGAAAGUGUGGCUUUGCUCCAUAACACACUCAUGCAUCAUGUGCUGUCCAGCUACAGUCCCCAAAGAGACAGGCCAAUCCACCAUAGUCUGAAGCUUCAGAAACAGCCCUCUUUAUACUGAGCACUUCAUUCCAGGGACUAGCAUCUGUGUGGUUCCCAAACUCAGCCGUACAUCUAACCACAUGCUCCAUUCAUCCCUCAACUCCUGUCAGAGAAGUUUCUGUUUGCAGUAGAACGUGAUUAACACAGAGAGUCACAACUGACCAAGGGGCAGAGAAUCAGAGAUUGCAAAAUACUCAGCCCUAAAUGGAACAUAUAUAGCACAACUCUCCUUUCCAAGACUCCAGGACCACCGAGGAAGAGGGAGUGGAAAGAGUGUAAAAGACAGAAGUGGUGGGCGACAAGAAAACAGUGUCUCCUGAAUACAGGACAGCUGCACUUUGAACUCAUAGUGGAUGCCACAGCACACACAAGACUUGUGUAAACCUAAGCAGGACCAAAUUCCAGCAUGGAGGGAGCAAUUGAGCAUGAAAUCCCACCCCUGGUUGUGGAGAUAUUGGCAGCCAUUAGCUGCUGGGAGCUAGAGGGACUGUUUUGUCUUUAGAAUGUUGGCCUCUGGUAAGCUGACCACACUCAACAGGACAGUCACCACACAGGAAUAUUUGGGCAACACACAUUGGUCUUAGUGAAUUCUUAAAAAAAAAAAAAAACGAAGUUGGGUAGAUAAGGAAGGGCGUGUGGAUCUCAGAGGAUUUGGAGAAGAGGUGAAAGUCAUCAAAACACACACAAACUCCCAAAGAACUAAUAAAAACUAUUUAAAUAACCCAGUCACACUCUGCAGCAGUUAGGUUAGACUAUCCCAAGGCAGGCUCUAAGGAGGCACACUUGCUAAUGAAAACCCUCCAAGUAUGGGGUAAGGGAGACAGCUGAGUGGGUGUAAGGACCUGAGUAUAGCUCAAUAAUCUAUGUCAAAGAUGGACACAGUGUGGCUGUCUCCAUUUCCAGAGUUCCCACAGGAGACAGGAGGCAGAGGCUGGAGAACCCCAGGGAGCUUGUGUGUACACAGUGUAGAAAGUGAGGACCAACCCCCAGGCUGGUCCUGUAGCUUCUACAUGCACUCUGGCCUGCACACACACACACACACACACACACACACACACACACACACACACACACACACACACGCACACUCACUCCAAGUCAUUCUAGCACACAGCAAAGUUUGGGUCCCACUGGCUAUUACAGAUAAAUGGGGCCUCAGCUAGUUAAACUAGUUGGCUAAUAGGUAGUGUUAGUAAGUGUCAAUAACUAGACACUGGCCCAAAACAGAGCAGUUUACAGACUCAAAUCCCUAUUCUCUCACCAUCAAACUGGUUCUGGAAAGUUCUUUGUAAAUGAACCCUAGGUAGGAUAAUAGUGGAUUAACUCAUCCCAGAUACCAAGAAAGCAAGUUUUCAAAAGGCGCAUGAAACACUGUAUUUUUUUUUAAUGCUUCCUCAUUCACAGUGUUUUUACAUGUCAUUUUAUUGAAUCUUUGCAACGAGCCUUCAAAGUUUGUAUGCUAUGCCCACUUUAUAAAAGAUAAAACAAAAAAUAAAAGUAGUUCCCCCUGUUUGGGGACAAACUGAGGCUCAGGUCUCAGAAAACUAUGCUCCUUUUCUAGACUAUCCUUCCUUGGAGGGCCUACUGAUGGCUGCCAGCAAGAUGUCAUCCACAUUGAAAGCUGUUGCAGAGCAAUGGUCUAGUUGCUGCAACGGUAGUAUCCAGCGCACAGCCCAGGUGCCUACAGGGAGAAUGGCCAGAUGAAUGUGCCCAACACAAAAUAGUAACUUCGUUUAAAACAUUAUGAGUUGGGCACUUCUCAGGACUGGUACCCCAUUGGACAUACACUGCCAUGGAUUCCUGACACCCCAUUGGGCCACGCUGCCCUGGCUUCCUCAGCUCCUUCCAGACUCUGCCUAGUUCUUAGGGAGAACCCAUCCGUUUGGUUGAUAUUUAAAACUGAAACAUGUGCCGGGCGGUGGUGGCGCACGCCUUUAAUCCCAGCACUCGGGAGGCAGAGGCAGGCGGAUCUCUGUGAGUUCGAGGCCAGCCUGGUCUCCAAAGCGAGUUCCAGGAGAGGCGCAAAGCUACACAGAGAAACCCUGUCU